UACGAAGGGUGCAAGCGUUACUCGGAAUUACUGGGCGUAAAGCGUGCGUAGGUGGUUUGUUAAGUCUGUUGUGAAAGCCCCGGGCUCAACCUGGGAAUGGCAAUGGAUACUGGCAAGCUAGAGUGCGGUAGAGGGUAGUGGAAUUCCCGGUGUAGCGGUGAAAUGCGUAGAGAUCGGGAGGAACACCAGUGGCGAAGGCGGCUACCUGGCGAGUCACUGACGCUCAGGUGCGAAAGCUAGGGGAGCGAACGGG
rnacentral:rRNA from 1 species